AACGAACGCUGGCGGCAUGCCUAACACAUGCAAGUCGAACGAAGUCUUCGGACUUAGUGGCGCACGGGUGCGUAACGCGUGGGAAUCUGCCCUUGGGUACGGAAUAACUCAGAGAAAUUUGUGCUAAUACCGUAUAAUGUCGUAAGACCAAAGAUUUAUCGCCCAAGGAUGAGCCCGCGUAAGAUUAGCUAGUUGGUAGGGUAAAAGCCUACCAAGGCGACGAUCUUUAGCUGGUCUGAGAGGAUGAUCAGCCACACUGGGACUGAGACACGGCCCAGACUCCUACGGGAGGCAGCAGUGGGGAAUAUUGGACAAUGGGCGAAAGCCUGAUCCAGCAAUGCCGCGUGAGUGAUGAAGGCCCUAGGGUUGUAAAGCUCUUUUACCCGGGAUGAUAAUGACAGUACCGGGAGAAUAAGCUCCGGCUAACUCCGUG
rnacentral:rRNA from 1 species